GCCCUUAUGGUGUAAAGUUAACACACUCGGCACGUAUUCCAGAAAUCUAGGUUCGAGUCCCAGUGAAGGCA
rnacentral:tRNA from 1 species